rnacentral:lncRNA from 1 species
CAAAGUAUAAAAUUUAAUUUACAGUGACACGUGGGCCCACGAACGACCAAAAGCAUCAAAAGCGGUAAACCUAUAGUUUUUGAGGAUGCAAGUCCAACUGUAGCCCUCAACAAAGUGAGCUAUCUACAAACUAUCCUGAGCUUGAAAUUGGUGGAAAGGAGGGUGGUGAGAUUAUAUAAUCCCAGUGAGUAAACAAAUACCAUCUAAAAUAUCUAAAGCUGAGUAAAUGGAGACAGAUAAAAUAGUUUAACAUACUAUAAUUCAUCACCUUUCAACUCAUUUCAACCAAAUUAAAUCAAUUCAUAUAAAUCGAGUAAUCAACAUGGCUUAUGAAUUUCUUAAAACUUUGGCUCGUGCCAAAAUCAUUCUCAUACUCAGUUAUCAGCGAUACCUUGACCGAGGGCUAUCCCAACCGAGUCCGCCAAGACUAUUAAAAAGUCAUGUACGUAUAAAUCAUGUUUUUAUUUUGAAAACAUAGCCUUUCCUUGGGGUUGGCUGAGUCCACCCUCACGUGGUGGUUUGGCGUGAAGUGAACUCUAAAGUUGUACCUCAGGAGUUACCCUACACGCCUCUCCGACCGAGGUAAGAAUAUAACGGGGUUACCGUACCCCUCUAUCAGGCUAGUCCACGAAACCUGCCCACUGUAGCAAGCUAAACCCACCAAUUCAAUAAAAUCUCAACCGCAUGACAUGACAAUUAUAUCACAAUCCAGCCUCUCAAGGCUAAAUACACAAUUCAUAUAUUUCAACACAAAUACCAAUUCAGCCAUUCAUGCAAAUAUUGUCAUAAGUCAUUCGAUUCAAACCAUGAAUUUACAACACAUGAAAACAAUCUCCAAUUACUCUAUUUUCAAACCAUCAUUUCAUUUCAAGACAAUGUUAUAAAAUAAUUUCAUUAAAUCACAUUUUGUUUAUAAAACCUAAAGAUUUACCAUUUAAACACAUUUUUUCUAUAAAAUCACAAAAAUGAAUAAAAACUACUUUAAAUAAUUAAGACGAUAGUAAGGUUACUCACUAUUUCGGGAGUCGAAUUUCGAGUACUCCGAUUCUUGAUCCUCGGGUACUAUCUCUUUUCUUUUCCUAGAAUGCUUACCACCUAGACAUAAUGCACAAUAAGCCAUUUACUACAUUUGUGCUAAAUUGUUAUAAAACCAAUUCAGGCUCUAUACUAAUGCAUGAAAUGGGAUGUAAAUUGUUCAGGUAACUAUCUAAAUACGGUGUUCAAUAUAAAUUCAAUUAUGUACCUAAAUAAAACAAUAUUGGCCUAAUUCGAUCUAUCACUCGAUUAAUUGGCCAAUACGUCAAAUUCGACUCCAAAUAAUUCCAUUUUCCUCCCAAUACUCCAAAUCAUCAAACACAAAUUAAAUAGCUUGAAAUAUGGCAAAAUCAUCCUCACAUUUUCUCUUGGAAAAUUCGGCCAUGGUGGGUGCAUCAACACUAUAAUUUUUUAAGCUUGAUUCUCACACCAUAAAUCACUAAUUCCUAACCAAAUCACUUGAAAUAAAAUGAAAAUCAUCAUCAAUAUUCCACAUGGAGAAUUCGGCCAAUGAUGGGUGAUGGAAGAACAUGAAUUUUUCUUGCUUGAUUUUCAUGCUACACAUCACCAAUCAACUAAAAACACUAAAAUACAUUGAAAUCUAACCAUAUCAAGCAUCAAAACCUUUCUCUAAGUGUUCAGCCAGCAAGAUACCCAUCAUGAAAUCAUGUGAUUCAACCAUGAAAAAUGCAAAAGAAUGUAUGGGAAAGGUAGAUCAUAAGUCAAAAUUAAGAAAUUUUACUUUUGAUUACUUGAUUCCUUGAAAUCCACCAAAUUUUCUCUUGAAUUUUCACCCUAGGAUUCUUGUUCUUUCUUUUCUUCCUUUGUUCUUGCUUUGUUUGGCCAUAUGAAGAGAAA